rnacentral:sRNA from 1 species
UAUUUGUCGUUUAUUACCGCGUAAUAUUCGCAACCCGAAUCCAUUUACGCAUUAAUAAAUUAUAAAUUAUUUAAUAAAAUAAAAAUAAAAAAAAACGUCCCGUUUAUAAAAUAUUGGAUUAAACCAAUUUUAUUAUAUUUAUUUUUUGGUUUCCUAUUUAUUUUUAUUUUGGUUGCGUUUUGCGGUUUCCGUUUUCGAUUAAAUUUCGUAUCAAAAAUUAUUUGUUUUUUUUUCCAGGAAUUUCCGUCGUAAUCGCGGUUAUUACCGUAAAAAAACGCAAUAUUAUUACGUAAAUGCAAUUUAUUAUUUAAUAACCGGAAUUACCGUAACGCAAAUAUAUUUUUAUUUCGUAUUUCCGUUAAUAUUUAUCGUUAAAAAUUUAUUAAACGCGUAAACGCGUAUUUUUUUUAUUAAUAUUCGAAAAUUAGAUUUAUCCGGAUUUACGGCGUCCUUUUGUCCUUUUAUUAGGUUUGGAAUUUAUUAUAAUUAUAUUCGUUAUAAAUAUAUUUUCGUUUUUCGGCGGUUUGGGGAUUAUAACGGCGCCCGCGCGGUAAAAACCAAAAUAUUUAUUUAAUUCGAUCGUUUUAAAAUUUUGGGCAAUUUGGCGGUAAAUAAUUACCGUUUUUAAAUAAAUACCGUUUCCUAUAUUUUAUCCAAUAUAUAUUUUCCAAAUUUUGAAAAAUACGCGGAAAUGUAAAAAAUUGGUACGGAUUUCGUCCGUCCAAAUUAAUUUUCCGGCCGUAAUUAGAAUUUUUUCGAAAAUUGCAAUAAAUUGGACAAACGAUUAAUUCGGUUUUAUUUUUAACGUUUUAAAUUCGGCCAAAAUUUGCGCCCGUUUAUAAAAAUUGUCGUAAAUAUAUUUUAAAUAAUCCAAAAAAUUUAUAUAACGGUACGCGCCGUUUUUACCGUUUAUUUUAUAAUAAAAACGGACCAUUUUUUGGACGGAUAUAUCGAAUUUUACCUAUAAAUAUUUAUAUUAAUCGCGGUAAUUAUUUAUAAAAUCCGCGUCGCGGCGGAAUUUAUAUUUUAUAACGUAUUGUUAAAUUAUAAACGAGGCCGGGAUACCGUCGUAUAAUGGCGGGUUUCGAAAUAAUUUGCGUUUCGGUAAUACCGUAAUUUAUAAUAUUUCCGCGAUAAUUGGUACCGUCGGGGUUUUUAUUUGCAAAAUUUGUAUUUUUUUUUAUAAAUCCGCGAUUAUCCGUUAUAAUUUUUAAAACGCGGCGUCCGGUAUUUGGGCGGUAAUUUCCUUUUUAAAUGGCGAAUUUAUUAUCCGUGGAAAAAAAAAAAAAUAAUAAACGAUAAUAAAUAUUAUAAGGUAGGCCAACGAUUAUAUAACGGUUAGGUACCCGAAAAAAAUUAUUAUUAUCGUUAAAAAAAAAAAGAAAAAAGGGGUGCGGAAAAGGUUUUGGCGGCCCUUCCUCCCUUAUAUAUAAUAUAAUUUAUUACGUGGUCCCCGCUGUUAUUUAUAUACGGGGAUAUAUAUAAUUAGUACGAAUCCGUAAUAAAAAUAAAAACCAAAAAAUAAUAAAAUUUUUACAAUAUUAGUUUUAACAAUAUUUUUAAAUUUAA